rnacentral:rRNA from 1 species
CCCGCAACGAGCGCAACCCCUCGCUAUCUGUUGCCAGCAAGUAAUGUUGGGGACGUCAGAUGGAACUGCCGGUGACAAACCGGAGGAAGGUGGGGACGACGUCAAGUCAUCAUGGCCCUUAUGUCCUGGGCUACACACGUGCUACAAUGGCCGGUACAGAGCGCAGCGAAGCCGCGAGGCAAAGCGAAUCGCAAAAAGCCGGUCUCAGUACGGAUUGGAGUCUGAAACUCGACUCCAUGAAGUUGGAAUCGCUAGUAAUCGCGCAUCAGCAUGGCGCGGUGAAUACGUUCCCGGGCCUU